ACAUCAGUGACAACAACAACGACUACAACAUCAGCCGAACCUGAAACCCAACAACAAUCAUGUGCACGGUCUGAAGAUAAAGUUAAUAAUUUUGCCAUUAUAUAUUUCUCUGGAUUCGGAUCUUGUGUUGCCAUAGAAGUAUUUGCUGUAUUGUUUUACCUUAUAAGACGAAGGUAUCUGGGAAGUAAACGCCCAAAGACAACAAACCUAACGUUGACAUUCCAACAUAUUAUAACACUAGAACUGAUUUCGGAACUGUAAAUGCUGAGUCAGCUGAUGCGACUAAUAAUUACGAGAGUUUGAGUAAUAACAGGACCACGAAUAAUGUAUACAAUGAUCUAGGAACAGCAUUGUCAUCGACGUAGGAGAAAUGAGUUUUAGUGAUUUCCUAGUGA